rnacentral:rRNA from 1 species
GACAGAGGGUGCAAACGUUGUUCGGAAUUACUGGGCGUAAAGCGCGUGUAGGCGGCUGUGCAAGUCGGAUGUGAAAUCCCGUGGCUCAACCACGGAAGUGCACCCGAAACUGCGCAGCUGGAGUCUCGGAGAGGAAGGUGGAAUGCUUGGUGUAGAGGUGAAAUGCGCAGAUAUCAGGAAGAACACCCGUGGCGAAGGCGGCUCUCUGGGACGGUACUGACGCUGAGACGCGAAAGCGUGGGGAGCGAACAGG